UACAGAGGUCUCAAGCGUUGUUCGGAUUCAUUGGGCGUAAAGGGUGCGUAGGCGGCGCGGUAAGUCGGGUGUGAAAUCUCGGAGCUUAACUCCGAAACUGCAUUCGAUACUGCCGUGCUUGAGGACUGGAGAGGAGACUGGAAUUUACGGUGUAGCGGUGAAAUGCGUAGAUAUCGUAAGGAAGACCAGUGGCGAAGGCGGGUCUCUGGUCUGUAACUGACGCUGGAGGCGCGGAAAGCGUGGGGAGCAAACAGG
rnacentral:rRNA from 1 species